UCACCCAAAGAUGAGAACUUUACCCAAUUGGGUAGCUAUGGCUCACCUAAAAAUGAGAGCUUUUCACAAUUGGGUACCUAUAGUUCGCCCAAAGAUGAGAGCUUUACCCAACUGGGUAGCUAUGGUUCACUCAAAGAUGAGAACUUUUUGAAAUUGGGUAGCUAUGGUUCACUCAAAGAUGAGAACUUUACCCAAUUGGGCAGCUAUGGGUCAAUGAGGAAGGACAAAGUGGAGUGGA
rnacentral:lncRNA from 1 species